GUCCACAGUUUUUAGAUGUUCUCUCUUCUUUAAGUGCAAAACUCAUCUCAACAUUAACUAUGGAGCCGGAACUGAUGCCUCCAUAACACAGUGUUCAAACAUGAGAAAACUGUGUAUGCAGACAAGCCUUGAAAUUUCUCUGCUGUGGUCAUGAUGGGCAAGACUGGAACAGCAGCUUCUGCUAGUAUGGCAGAGACCCAAGCAGGGAAACAACAUCCCAGUGCAAUGCUCUGGAAAGUUCUAGAGGCCACAUGAAAUAAUAAGAGUGCCUAAUCCAUCUGGGCUGCCUAUUUUCCAGAUGUCCCUCUCCUCUUUCACGCAUCUUCGCGUACCAGAAGGGGCUGAGUAG